CCCUUAGAUGUUCUGGGCUGCACACGCGCUACACUGAAGGGAUCAGCGUGUUCUUUUCCUGGUCCGAAAGGAUCGGGUAACCCGCUGAACCCCCUUCGUGGUAGGGAUCGGAGCUUGCAAUUAUUCUCCGUGAACCAGGAAUUCCCAGUAAGCGCAAGUCAUAAGCUUGCGUUGAUUACGUCCCUGCCCUUUGUACACACCGCCCGUCGCUACUACCGAUUGGACGUUUUAGUGAGGAUUUUGGACUGAGCCAAUGGUGGUUCACACCACUGUUGUGCAUGGAAAGAUCUCCAAACUUGAGCGUUUAGAGGAAGUAGAAGUCGUAACA
rnacentral:rRNA from 1 species